rnacentral:rRNA from 1 species
GAUGAACGCUGGCGGCGUGCCUAAUACAUGCAAGUCGAGCGAAUGGAUUAAGAGCUUGCUCUUAUGAAGUUAGCGGCGGACGGGUGAGUAACACGUGGGUAACCUGCCCAUAAGACUGGGAUAACUCCGGGAAACCGGGGCUAAUACCGGAUAACAUUUUGAACCGCAUGGUUCGAAAUUGAAAGGCGGCUUCGGCUGUCACUUAUGGAUGGACCCGCGUCGCAUUAGCUAGUUGGUGAGGUAACGGCUCACCAAGGCAACGAUGCGUAGCCGACCUGAGCGGGUGAUCGGCCACACUGGGACUGAGACACGGCCCAGAAUCCUACGGGAGGCAGCAGUAGGGAAUCUUCCGCAAUGGACGAAAGUCUGACGGAGCAACGCCGCGUGAGUGAUGAAGGCUUUCGGGUCGUAAAACUCUGUUGUUAGGGAAGAACAAGUGCUAGUUGAAUAAGCUGGCACCUUGACGGUACCUAACCAGAAAGCCACGGCUAACUACGUGCCAGCAGCCGCGGUAA